rnacentral:rRNA from 1 species
AGCGAACGCUGGCGGCGUGCUUAACACAUGCAAGUCGAACGUGAAAAGGGGCAACCCUGAGUAAAGUGGCGUACGGGUGAGUAACACGUAGGUGAUCUACCUGAGAGCCUGGAAUAACCUGCCGAAAGGCGGGCUAAUACUGGAUAGAGCGAGGGACUCGUAAGGAGUCUUUCGGGAAAGGGAGCCCGCAAGGGCCCUUGAUUUCAGAUGAUCCUGCGUCCUAUCAGCUAGUUGGUGAGGUAACGGCUCACCAAGGCAAUGACGGGUAGCUGGUCUGAGAGGAUGGUCAGCCACACUGGGACUGAAACACGGCCCAGACUCCUACGGGAGGCAGCAGUGGGGAAUCUUGCGCAAUGGGCGAAAGCCUGACGCAGCCACGCCGCGUGAGUGAAGAAGGCCUUCGGGUUGUAAAGCUCUGUCGCUUGGGACGAAUAGCUUGAGGGUGAAUAGCCCUUGAGUUUGACGGUACCGAGAGAGGAAGCACCGGCUAACUCCGUGCCAGCAGCCGCAGUAAAAC